GUUCACAGCAGCUCCUCACCUGUUUGUAAGGAGAAUAAGCAUUCUGCUGGGAGGCUGCCUGUAGGAUCAGACUCGUACAGCAGGCAUGCCAGCCUUUGCUGCAGUCACUACUGGCUCUUCAGCUUCUGUCAUGAACACUGUAGAAGUCCUACUGAAUGUCCUUUUAGAUCUCUCUAGCUUCACAAGUUUCAGUUUGUAUCCACAUUUUGUGCCUAAAGAGGCAGAGACCCUGUGAAACCAAAGAUCCAGAUAAAACAAGCUGCAAAAGCUUGAUUAAUUCUUCCAGCAAGCUACAUUUUCAAGGCCUCAUAUGAAUUAUUCAUCUCUCAAGUAUUCCGAAGAAAAAACUGUAAGAAAUGGAAUUCCCUGCUGAUCACAUUUUAGAGUUUCCUGAGAAGGAAAGCAACUGAUGCCACACAAUGGCAAAGAAGGAAGCUGUGUAGCAUCACAGUGCAAUGGAGCAUGAUCUUGUCCCGCUUACUUCAAGUUUCAUCAGUCCUUUAGAGCACUCCAGUCAUUAGAAGUCAGUUUGUAUAUUUGAUACUGAUACAUCACAUCAGGGCUGGUACAAGUUCAAGUUGUGCACAGUGUGCUCUGAAAACAAAAGCACUGCGCAGCUCCAUAACCAGUACCUCCAACAACACAGCUGUUUACUGCAUUCUCAUGAUACUGUUUCCAUCUCUACAGUUACUGUUAGUGGGAGGGCUUUUGCACAGGCUCCUGAAAAGCUGCGUCAGCAAUCUCAGUGCCAAGUCUUCUAGCACAGCAAAAGCUGGUACACAGUCCCAUUCAGACAAGCAGUGGUGUUUUGCCUGAAAUACCCAGCAUAUCAGCAUUAAAAAAUGUAGAAAAUAAUCACUGCCAAUUCCUACUUUUGUGACAACACCACCCCUAAGAGCAAAACAGUGAAAAGAGCCAAAGUAGGAGUUUCUUUGAGAGUCUUUUAGUUCUUGUCUUAGUCCUACUUGAAAAUAUUGCCGAGACAUGACCUACAGAUACUAUACUUCAAGUUGACCCCAUGAAAAUUCAAAUGGAGACAAGCUGAAUACUUUCCAAAGUAAGAAAUGAGUAAGAAUGCCAACUACCAAUGCAUCAACAGUAAUGAAGGAACAGUUGACAGCAUUUACUGGAUCUGAGGAAAGAAGAUGAUAGCCUUCCUCAGGUUCCCUCACUUAUGCAUCUACAUGUUUAUGCCUGAGAAAUCUUUUUUUAUAUGGUUUGUGUGUUACUUGCUUUAUCACGUUAUGUUGGCUGUACGCUGUGUAUCUUAUCUGCAUGCUGUUUUUUCCUAUCUUAUUUUGCUUGGGUUUGGUCUUUGACCUAGUUUUCCA